rnacentral:rRNA from 1 species
AUACAGAGGUCGCAAGCGUUGUUCGGAUUUACUGGGCGUAAAGGGCACGUAGGCUGCGAGGCGUGUCGAGUGUGAAAUCUCCGGGCCCAACCCGGAAAGUGCGCUCGAAACUACCUUGCUCGAGUACGGGAGAGGGAAGGGGAAUAUAGGGUGUAGCGGUGAAAUGCGUUGAUAUCCUAUAGAACACCGGAGGCGAAGGCGCCUUCCUGGAACGUUACUGACGCUAAGGUGCGAAAGUCGGGGGAGCAAACAGGAUUAGAUACCCUGGUAGUCCCGACCUUAAACGGUGCACACUCGGGGUGGGGCCAUUUCACCGGCCCCGUCCCUCAGCCAACGCGUUAAGUGUGCCGCCUGGGGAGUACGGCCGCAAGGCUAAAACUCAAAUGAAUUGGCGGGG